GAUGAACGCUGGCGGCGUGCCUAUACAUGCAAGUCGAGCGAACGGACGAGAAGCUUGCUUCUCUGAUGUUAGCGGCGGACGAGUGAGUAACACGUGGAUAACCUACCUAUAAGACUGGGAUAACUUCGGGAAACCGGAGCUAAUACCGGAUAAUAUUUUGAACCGCAUGGUUCAAAAGUGAAAGACGGUCUUGCUGUCACUUAUAGAUGGAUCCGCGCUGCAUUAGCUAGUUGGUAAGGUAACGGCUUACCAAGGCAACGAUGCAUAGCCGACCUGAGAGGGUGAUCGGCCACACUGGAACUGAGACACGGUCCAGACUCCUACGGGAGGCAGCAGUAGGGAAUCUUCCGCAAUGGGCGAAAGCCUGACGGAGCAACGCCGCGUGAGUGAUGAAGGUCUUCGGAUCGUAAAACUCUGUUAUUAGGGAAGAACAUAUGUGUAAGUAACUGUGCACAUCUUGACGGUACCUAAUCAGAAAGCCACGGCUAACUACGUGCCAGCAGCCGCGGUAAUACGUAGGUGGCAAGCGUUAUCCGGAAUUAUUGGGCGUAAAGCGCGCGUAGGCGGUUUUUUAAGUCUGAUGUGAAAGCCCACGGCUCAACCGUGGAGGGUCAUUGGAAACUGGAAAACUUGAGUGCAGAAGAGGAAAGUGGAAUUCCAUGUGUAGCGGUGAAAUGCGCAGAGAUAUGGAGGAACACCAGUGGCGAAGGCGACUUUCUGGUCUGUAACUGACGCUGAUGUGCGAAAGCGUGGGGAUCAAACAGGAUUAGAUACCCUGGUAGUCCACGCCGUAAACGAUGAGUGCUAAGUGUUAGGGGGUUUCCGCCCCUUAGUGCUGCAGCUAACGCAUUAAGCACUCCGCCUGGGGAGUACGACCGCAAGGUUGAAACUCAAAGGAAUUGACGGGGACCCGCACAAGCGGUGGAGCAUGUGGUUUAAUUCGAAGCAACGCGAAGAACCUUACCAAAUCUUGACAUCCUUUGACAACUCUAGAGAUAGAGCCUUCCCCUUCGGGGGACAAAGUGACAGGUGGUGCAUGGUUGUCGUCAGCUCGUGUCGUGAGAUGUUGGGUUAAGUCCCGCAACGAGCGCAACCCUUAAGCUUAGUUGCCAUCAUUAAGUUGGGCACUCUAAGUUGACUGCCGGUGACAAACCGGAGGAAGGUGGGGAUGACGUCAAAUCAUCAUGCCCCUUAUGAUUUGGGCUACACACGUGCUACAAUGGACAAUACAAAGGGCAGCGAAACCGCGAGGUCAAGCAAAUCCCAUAAAGUUGUUCUCAGUUCGGAUUGUAGUCUGCAACUCGACUACAUGAAGCUGGAAUCGCUAGUAAUCGUAGAUCAGCAUGCUACGGUGAAUACGUUCCCGGGUCU
rnacentral:rRNA from 1 species